GCAUUGGUGGUUCAGUGGUAGAAUUCUCACCUUCCAUGCAGCUGACCCAGGUUCAAUUCCUGGCCAGUGCA
rnacentral:tRNA from 1 species